rnacentral:rRNA from 1 species
GCGAACGCUGGCGGCAGGCUUAACAUAUGCAAGUCGAACGGGCGUAGCAAUACGUCAGUGGCAGACGGGUGAGUAACACGUGGGAACAUACCUCUUGGUUCGGAACAACACAGGGAAAAUUGUGCUAAUACCGGAUAAGCCCUUACGGGGAAGGAUUUAUCGCCGAGAGAUUGGCCCGCGUCUGAUUAGCUAGUUGGUAGGGUAACGGCCUACCAAGGCGACGAUCAGUAGCUGGUCUGAGAGGAUGAUCAGCCACAUUGGGACUGAGACACGGCCCAAACUCCUACGGGAGGCAGCAGUGGGGAAUAUUGGACAAUGGGGGCAACCCUGAUCCAGCCACGCCGCGUGAGUGAUGAAGGCCCUAGGGUUGUAAAGCUCUUUUGUGCGGGAAGAUGAUGACGGUACCGCAAGAAUAAGCCCCGGCUAACUUCGU